rnacentral:rRNA from 1 species
GAGUUUGAUCGUGGCUCAGGAUGAACGCCGGCGGUGUGCCUAAUACAUGCAAGUCGUACGCACUGGCCCAACUGAUUGAUGGUGCUUGCACCUGAUUGACGAUGGAUCACCAGUGAGUGGCGGACGGGUGAGUAACACGUAGGUAACCUGCCCCGGAGCGGGGGAUAACAUUUGGAAACAGAUGCUAAUACCGCAUAACAACAAAGGCCACAUGGCUUUUGUUUGAAAGAUGGCUUUGGCCAUCACUCUGGGAUGGACCUGCGGUGCAUUAGCUAGUUGGUAAGGUAACGGCUUACCAAGGCGAUGAUGCAUAGCCGAGUUGAGAGACCGAUCGGCCACAAUGGAACUGAGACACGGUCCAUACUCCUACGGGAGGCAGCAGU